rnacentral:rRNA from 11 species
CCUAACAUUCACCAUUGGAUAUGUAGGCAAGCAUUCGGUGUUGGGCUAUUUUAUUGGGGCUAUACCUUUAUGUAAGUCAAUAGUAGGGCGCCAAGAGAACAUACUGGAAGAGAGCAGUGUUUUUAGCAAGGGCAUAUCAUGGGACAUUUGAAUGUGGGGGUAUAGUAGUGAAGGUUGUAGUCAGCAUUAGUGAACUUAAGUGUAACGUAUCAGAUAACAGCUACCCCUUGGAUAACAGGCUUAUAUAGGCUGACAGAUCGCAUGGAGGCAUAUCAUUGGCACCUCGAUGUCGGCUUGUCUCUUCUAGUAUAUUGAUUAGUAUAACUAGUGUGGUUGCUCAUCACAUAGUCAGGCAAGUGAGCUGGGUUCAGAACGAUGUAAAUCAGUUUGGUCUAUAUCUUUAUUGGUGUUGCGAGAAAGUAUAGUAUAGCAGUACGCAAGGAC